CAUCCCAUCUUCCUAUUAGCAUUUAAAAAAUCACAGUACGCAUUUGACCUCCAUUCAUUUAAAGCACGUGAUCCCUGCUCAACCUUCAAGCUGCUCAUCAGGGAGCAGAGCCUCUGGGUUCUGCAGCCAUCUCCUCUGGUUGCCUGGAUGGCUCCCUUGGCAAUUUGCAAAUCAUUUAAAACAGUUUUCAGGGUUGGCGAGUUUAAGCUAGCUCUCUGCUUGUUUUGUAAAAUACUGGCUGGCACUGGAAUACUUUGUUUAGAAUGUUCUCCGCAUUAAAGAGAGAAAUGAAGUGCCCUAGUUAGAUGGCACAGCCUGGAAUUUUAUACCCAAUGUGCUGUGAUUAAAAAACAACAUAUUGAUAAUGUGAUAAACUCUAUACAUACCUUUUAAAAUGUAAACAUCAUAGCACCACCAUGAAGAAGGCAUCAUCAUCAUCGAAAAGUAAAAUAACUCAUCUAGUAUUUCACAUGGCAAUUUCUAUGGAGUAGUAAUCUUUAGCUAACUCCUACUUGGCACGUUUUAAAAUAAAUAACAUGGCAGUAUAUUUUUAGAUAUAAGUACACUUGCAAUCUAAUAUGCCAUACCUAUACAAUGUAAUGAUAUGACUUUUAUUGAAUUAAUUCAUACGCCAGUCUAGUGGAAUGUCGUGGUUAUCUUGUAAAGUUUGGCUGUUAUCUUGUGAAAGCUUUGGGCUUGGGGCUGGCUUCCUUGUGGGUUAUGGCUGAUGUUCCAGCUAUGUGCAGUAGCUGUAUGCCUGUCUCGGAGCCUUCUGCUAUGAUGCAUCCAGCUAUGGGCAGUGGCUGUAUGCCUGUCUCGGAGCCUUCUGCUAUGAUGCAUCCAGCUAUGGGCAGUGGCUGUAUGCCUGUCUUGGAGCCUUCUGCUAUGAUGCAUCCAGCUAUGGGCAGUGGCUGUAUGCCUGUCUCGGAGCCUUCUGCUAUGAAAUGUGUAGCCACUGCAGGUUAUUAAAUAUGUUUUGUGAUUCUGUACUAAAGAAUAGUCCCUUUCUUUCCUUUGUUAUAGCAGAAAGCUUCUGGGAAGUCUGAAGUCUUUAUUUCUUCCCAGGAGUACUUGCAGACCAACACUGAGAGAAAAAGAAAAGGAUUCAUUAGACAUUGUUUUCCAGCCUUUCCAACGAGGAAGUAAAGAGACUAGGGGCUCCCAGAACCUCUGACCCAUGCUGAAGGAAAACUGCAGCUUCUACUCUCCACCUGCUGCUGGGUGGCUAUACUUAAUGGAGAGAGGUUUUUGGUUUUGUUUUAAUUUUUUAAAAGUUGCUAACCAUUCGCAUAUAUGCAAACAACCUCAACAUUUUGACAUCACCAAAUUAAAUCCAUUUUCAAAAUAAAGCUAUUUCGUCUGAAUAAACUCACUGUGAAGCCUAAAAAGCUCUAAAGACGGAAGCCAGGCACAAGACCAGACAACAAGGCCAUUGGUAUUAUGUGCUCCUCAAUCUCCUGCUUGUAAUAAUUUAUUUUUGUAUAUUUGUUUCUAGAAUGUUCAUUAAAUAGAUGAUUUUCUUUAAA